rnacentral:rRNA from 1 species
GAUGAACGCUGGCGGCGUGCCUAACACAUGCAAGUCGAGCGAACGGACCAGUUCCUUGCUUUUCUGGUGUUAGCGGCGGACGGGAGAGUAACAUGUGGAUAACCUACCUCUAGGACUGGGAUAAGUUAGGGAGUCCGGAGCUAAUACGGGAUAAUAUUUUGAACCGCAUGGUUCAAAAGUUUAAGACGGUCUUUCUGUCACUUAUAGAUGGACCCGCGCUGCAUUAGCUAGUUGGUAAGGUAACGGCUUACCACGGCAACGAUGGAUAGCCGACCCGAGAGCGUGAACGCAGACACGGAAGCUGAGACACGGCACUGACACCGAGAGGAGGCCGCGGCACGGACUCUUCCGAGAUGGGGGAAAGCCUGACGGAGGAACGCCGGGGGAAUGCUGAAGGGCCUCGGAUGGGAUAACGCUGUUCGUAUUGAAGAACAUAUGUGCAAGUAACUGUGCACAUCUUGACGGUACCUGAACAAGAAGCCCCGGCUAACUACGUG